rnacentral:tRNA from 1 species
GCCUCCUUAGCUCAGUGGUUAGAGCACUGGUCUUGUAAAUCAGGGGUCAUUAGUUCGAAUCUCAUAGGGGCCU